GACGAACGCUGGCGGCGUGCUUAACACAUGCAAGUCGAACGGAAAGGCCCUGCUUUUGUGGUGUGCUCGAGUGGCGAACGGGUGUGUAACACGUGAGUAACCUGCCCUUGACUUUGGUAUAACUUCAAGAAACUGGGUCUUAUACCGGAUAGGAGCUCCUGCUGCAUGGUGGUGGUUGGAUAAGUUCGGCGGUUGGGGAUGGACUCGCGGCUUAGCAGCUUGUUGGUGGGGUAGGGGCUUACCAAGGCUUUGACGGGUAGCCGGCAUGAGAGGGUAACCGGCCACAUUGGGACUGAGCGACGGCCCAGACUACUACGGGAGGCAGCAGUGGGGAAUGUUGCACAAUGGGAGGAAGCCUGAUGCAGCAACGCCGCGUGCGGGAUGACGGCCUUCGGGUUGUAAACCGCUAUCGCCUGUGACGAAGCGUGAGUGACGGUAAUGGGUAAAGAAGCACCGGCUAACUACGUG
rnacentral:rRNA from 1 species